rnacentral:rRNA from 1 species
UGCACUAUCAAAUAAGCGGAGGAAAAGAAAAUAACAAUGAUUUCCCCAGUAACGGCGAGUGAAGAGGAAAGAGCUCAAAGUUGGAACCUGUUUGGCUUAGCUAAACCGGAUUGUAAACUGUAGAAACGUUUUCCUGGCACGCCAGAUAAAUAAGUCCUUUGGAACAGGGCAUCAUAGAGGGUGAGAAUCCCGUCUUUGGUCUGAGCUGUUGUCUAUUGCGAUACGUUUUCAAAGAGUCAGGUUGUUUGGGAAUGCAGCCUAAAUUGGGUGGUAAAUCUCACCUAAAGCUAAAUAUUUGCGAGAGACCGAUAGCGAACAAGUACCGUGAGGGAAAGAUGAAAAGAACUUUGAAAAGAGAGUUAAACAGUAUGUGAAAUUGUUAAAAGGGAACCGUUUGGAGCCAGACUGGCUUGAUCGUAAUCAAUCUAGGUUUCGACCUGGAUGCACUUGCGGUCUAUGCCUGCCAACGACAGUUCUUUCUGAAGGAUAAAACUAGGAGGAAUGUGGCCCCUCGGGGUGUUAUAGCCUUCUAGAUAAUACUUUGGAUGGGACUGAGGAACGCAGUGAAUGCUAUUAUGGCGAGAUUUCUAUUCGCUUUUUUCCGAGAAUGGGUGAAUUUCUGCUUCGGGUGGUGCAUUCGUUCUUUGGAGAAAACUCGUGUAGUUAUUUUUCUAUUCACUUAGGUUGUUGGCUUAAUAGACGUCUAAAUGACCCGUCUUGAACCACGGACCAA